rnacentral:SRP_RNA from 1 species
CACUUAAGAAGUAUAGCAUGUCGCAGGGCGGAAAUCCUGCAAGCAAAAAGACUGGUAUUAAAAAGU